CCGGCCCAGGGUUCGCAGGUUCGGAUCCUGGGAGCAGACCUAGCACUGCUCAUCAAGCUACACAGUGGAAAAAGAAUGCUGCCUUACUGCUACACCGUAAUUCAUAACAUAGAGAGAGAAAAAAAAUUUAUCCUCAUUUUCAUAAGCAUUCACUCAACAAAUAUUUACAUGCCUGUUGCUGUGCUCGGCUGAAAGUAUAGAUGAAGAACAGUGUGCCCCAAGGAGCUUAAGGUUUGUGGAGAAAUAAGCAUUCAGAGCAACAAUGGAGUUACAGUUCAAUGUGACAAGAGCCAUGGUGGAGAGGCACAGGUGCACAGAGAAAUCCAGAAAAAGAAGUUCCCUGGCACCCAGAAGGAGACCUAGAAGCCUACCUAGGAGAAGUCACGUUUCACUCUCAGAAAAGCACUGAGCUGACUUACCGAUCAAUGGGACUUGCUAAGAGCAAGGAAGUCCCUGACUGAGGAACAUCCACCUACCCUACCAAGAUGUUGGACACACUGUUCCAAAAGUUGAAGGAUGUUCUCUCACGGGAGAGAGAAUAUCUAAACAAUCCACUGGGCUGGCAGGCACUGCAUGAAGAAAUUCUCUUCUUGUAAGGUGGCAGAAAACUGUAUCGGGUGGUGAGAGUGGCAAACUGCUGCAGGCAGCGGGGAACGCCCCUCAUUUCUACUCCAUCCCACCAUUGCUGCUUCCUACCUGGCCGAAGGGGAGAUGUUGCUAGAUUCUAAAGUUGGUUCAGAAAAGUCCAGAAGAUAAAUAAAAAAGAAACUUCAAAUUCCAUUGUUUUAUUUUCUACUUUGAUACUAAAGUACUUAUAGGAAAAAAAAUCUAGGGAAAGGAUUUUUUUCAUGGAAACUUGAAAUUUAAUAUUUUAUGGGCUGGGUUCAGAAUGCUGCCUACUGUCAAGAUAACAUCCUGUUAUCACACUUGUGAAAGCACCCGAGGCAUGAAUUAUUGCCGACUAAUUCACAGCCUGUCACAUCUUACUACUUAAUUGUCAUAUACCGAUGUAAACAGAGACCAUUUUUUGUCACUAAUAAAUGUGUUUUUAUU